GUCAAUAUCCCCGAGGCAACCACCGUUUUGGAUGAAGUCGGUUUUUCCGUUCUCGCGAGAUCUGCCGUAGCAGUUAACGACACGUUCCUCCUUUAUACAGUUUCCCUCUCUCCUCUGAGAGGUCUGAAAGCUUCUCUCAGCUCACCUGAAGAAUCUCCUGGAACCCAGCCCUCGUACCUUUUCAGUUUCCCUCCGGGUCCUCGCUGUCUGUGACCUGUAGCAGCCUGUUCUGCUUUGUGCCUUGCACGUCCUCUGCGCGGGGGGGGAGCACGUCUGAGGACGGAUCCCCUGGCAGACAGCUUUCCGCAUUCCUGUCGCCUCUCACGUCGUGCCUGCUGCACAUUUUCUGCAUUCUGUGUCCGCACAAGACCGCGGACUAGGCUCACAGAGACAGACCUUUGUGCGCAGAGUGUUUGAGUGUUGUGGGUCUGCAGGGAGAAAACGGUCCAGUUGGCUUGUUUUUGAAAACACCUUUUCCUGAAGGGCACAGGGUAAUGUGAGAUGCUGCACUUGUCCGGUGUUUCCUGUUCGCACCUGUUCAGCACUGUCUGUGAAUUCAACAUAGAAGGCCAUGUGAAUCUCACUGAUUCAUGACCCAUGAGGAUCUGGCAUAUUUCAUAUCUCCCCGGACUCUUCAGCUCACUUAAUAAAAAACAAGCAAAGCCAAGUACUCUAGCAGAGUCCUGUGGCCUAAUGUCCUAAGCUUAGGUCUACAACUCAGAAGCUCAUGGAUUUCUAGUCCCUGCCAGACCACUGCUUUUGGUAAAUAGAGGUGAAAGCCUUGCUGGAUAAAGAAUUCUUGGCUGCAUAUUUUCCUGAUUCAGCAUGUUGAAUCUAUCCCUUUCUAGCCUGCCAAAUUUCUGUGGACAGAUCUGCUGAGAACCUUAGAGAGAAGAGUUGAAAUUGCUGGAAUAUCUUUGGAUCACCCCUAUGUUUGAACCUACAAACAUUAGUGCCAAGCCUUCAAGGGGUGUUCUGAGGGCCUACACAUAAACCCUCACCUCCCUGAGAAGCCCAGGUUGAGUUUAUCUGUGUUACACAAAGGACGACUGAAUUCCUGAGAACAUUUUUCAUUACAUGAAGAAACCACUUCCUGUCACACAACCAGGAGAACUUUGUGCAAAAGGUAGAGAGGCUUGAGCAUGUUAAGGGACCAGAGGGAUACGACAGUGCAGAAGGAGAAAAUCCCAUGGUGAAGCCUGCAGGUCUGUGUUUGGUGUGACCAGGAUAUGUGAGUGGAACCUCACUGAAGAUCUAUUACCAGUUGACAGAAGACAAAAAAAUUCAAAGCUGGCUUAUAGGGCUCACACUAAGAGUGUUGCAAGCAUGGCAUCUACUUAGAGGAGGAAUUUAGGAUUGCUGCAUUGGGAAAAAAGAAAAAAAAACAGGGAAAAGAAAGGAAAUGUUUCCCUGCGGUUGUUUUCUCUUCUCACACUGUAGCCACAUUUCCAGUACUAAAAGGAGAUAUACAUUUGGAACCCAAGAUCAGAGCACGAGUUUCAACAGACGUUAUGGCAAGUGUUGCGACAAUAGUACAGACAUUGAAAUCUGUAUUGACCCAGAAAUUGACUGACCUCCUUCUCAACCUCAGCAGGACCAGAGAGAAACCCUCGAACAUCCUCUUUUCUCCUCUAUGCAACGAUGGCCUCUCUCCUCCAAGUACCAUCACCCUCACGAGUCCUCAAACCUGGCCACACGUUUAGUCACCCAGGGAGCUUUUAACGAAUACAAUUCCCUGGGCUCCAUCCCAGACCUCUGGGACUAGGGCCCAGGCUGGAUAUUUUAAAAGGCUCCAUAAUUAAUUCUAAUGUGUACCUAAAUUUUAAUACCACAGUCCUAGACCAAGCCAGAUGCCAGUAAAUAAGCCUAGAUUCCUCCUUCUUCCCAUCAGGAAGAAUCUAAUUGGUCAACUAAAACACAAAUCUGCCUUCUAAAUUGUUCUCCUCCAACUUCUCUAUGAUUGACUUAGAAUUUUCCUUGCUGUGACCUUGUAGUAGUUUUUCUUUCCUCUCAUAUUCUCUUUUCCCAUUAUGGUGCAUUGUUCUUGCUGCGAUGGGGUGAUCUUUGUAGUUUUGCCAGCCAUCACUUUUCUUAAAAUUCUUCGGUGACUCAUCAGAACUUUAGGACACAGUGAUGUGGACUCUUUAUUUUCUGAUCACUACCUGCUAUCUAGCUUCAUGUUUUGUCACCCUCCUCCCCACCCCCAUACUCUCCAUAAAACCAAAUGACUUUCUUGUGCUCUCAUGUCUUUGCCUCUGACUGUCCAUCUUCCAGUUCUGCUCUUAAGCUGACAACUGCAUUUUGUCAAACUGAGAUAAAGUCCUCUCUCUCUGCACAUGCUCUCUUUGCCAUCAUACCCUGUGCCUAACUACAUUAUGCCACUGACAUACCAAGUUGACACAAAAGUCCUACACUGACUGGAGCCUGUUGAUCUUGCUCAGACCCAUACUUAAAUGUGUGCCCUGCACAUAGUAAGUGCUUGAUAAGUCAAUGUCAAAUGCAUGGAGAAUCGAAUAAAUGAAUGAACACAUUAAAUCAUA